rfam:Triticum urartu cultivar G1812 contig1398979, whole genome shotgun sequence.
AACUUUCAACAACGGAUCUCUUGGUUCUGGCAUCGAUGAAGAACGCAGCGAAAUGCGAUA